CAUCCAGCGGGAAAGACUUCCCUUCAAAGGCAUGCUGGGAACUGUGGUCCUGCAAGGGCCGGAAACGGGAGUCCGGCGGCCCCUGAGGCCAGCAGCCAAGAGACCGUUAGGGGGAGGGUCUAAGCGACGGCUCUGCCUCCUUUUUGUUCCUUUCGGAGGUGACUGUCCCGCUGGAGACUUGGCUCGUCGGACUGGUUGACAGUCGCGGAAGCUGGCAUCCUUUGGAUGUCGUAAGGGGUAAAAGAGAUGGCAGCCCUGGGCAUGGAGUGGCCACUCCAGUGUUAGCCGAGCUGAAAAAUGCAACCUCCCUCACAGUAAUGUGAAGAUUUGGGGAUAAAGGUCAUGUUAUUCCUAUUGAUGUACAAAUGCUUGA